rnacentral:rRNA from 1 species
GUUGAACGCUGGCGGCGUGCCUAAUACAUGCAAGUCGAGCGAACGGACGAGAAGCUUGCUUCUCUGAUGUUAGCGGCGGACGGGUGAGUAACACGUGGAUAACCUACCUAUAAGACUGGGAUAACUUCGGGAAACCGGAGCUAAUACCGGAUAAUAUUUUGAACCGCAUGGUUCAAUAGUGAAAGACGGUCUUGCUGUCACUUAUAGAUGGAUCCGCGCUGCAUUAGCUAGUUGGUAAGGUAACGGCUUACCAAGGCAACGAUGCAUAGCCGACCUGAGAGGGUGAUCGGCCACACUGGAACUGAGACACGGUCCAGACUCCUACGGGAGGCAGCAGUAGGGAAUCUUCCGCAAUGGGCGAAAGCCUGACGGAGCAACGCCGCGUGAGUGAUGAAGGUCUUCGGAUCGUAAAACUCUGUUAUUAGGGAAGAACAUAUGUGUAAGUAACUGUGCACAUCUUGACGGUACCUAAUCAGAAAGCCACGGCUAACUACGUG